rnacentral:rRNA from 1 species
UCCCUCAGUAGCGGCGAGUGAAGCGGCAAGAGCUCAGAUUUGAAAUCUCACCUAGUGUGCGAGUUGUAAAUUGCAGGUUGGAGUCUCGGGUUAGACGUGUGUGCAAGUCCCUUGGAACAGGGUGCCACUGAGGGUGAGAGCCCCGUAUCGUGCAUGUCGACACCUGUGAGGCCCUUCUGUCGAGUCGAGUUGUUUGGGAAUGCAGCUCUAAGUGGGUGGUAAAUUCCAUCUAAGGCUAAAUAUUGGCGAGAGACCGAUAGCGAACAAGUACUGUGAAAAGGAAAGAUGAAAAGCACUUUGAAAAGAGAGUGAAACAGCACGUGAAAUUGUUGAAAGGGAAGGGUAUUGGGCUCGACAUGGGAUUUACGCAUCGUUGCCUCUCGUGGGCGGCGCUCUGGGUUUUUCCUGGGCCAGCAUCGGUUUUCGUUGCAGGAUAAGGACAAUUGGAAUGUGGCUCCUCGGAGUGUUAUAGCCUUUUGUAGAUGCUGCGUAUGGGGACCGAGGGCUGCGGCGGA